GGGUUGUAAACUUCUUUUAUAUUAGAAUAAAGUGCAGUAUGUAUACUGUUUUGUAUGUAUAAUAUGAAUAAGGAUCGGCUAACUCCGUGCCAGCAGCCGCGGUAAUACGGAGGAUCCGAGCGUUAUCCGGAUUUAUUGGGUUUAAAGGGAGCGUAGGUGGGCUGGUAAGUCAGUUGUGAAAGUUUGCGGCUCAACCGUAAAAUUGCAGUUGAUACUGUCAGUCUUGAGUACAGUAGAGGUGGGCGGAGUUCGUGGUGUAGCGGUGAAAUGCUUAGAUAUCACGAGGAACUCCGAUUGCGAAGGCAGCUCACUGGACUGCAACUGACACUGAUGCUCGAAAGUGUGGGUAUCAAACAGGAUUAGAUACCCUGGUAGUCCACACAGUAAA
rnacentral:rRNA from 1 species